rnacentral:rRNA from 1 species
AGCCUUAGGUUUCUUCUAAGGUGUGCCCUGCCCACUGAUAUUUUUUUAACGGCCGCAGUACCUUGACUGUGCUAAGGUAGCGUAAUCAGUUGGCUUUUAAUUGGAGUCGAGAAUGAAUGGGUAAACGGGGGCUAGCUGUCUCUAACCUGCUUAAUUGAAUUUACUUAAAGGGUGAAAAUUCCCUUAUUAAAGAAAAAAGACGAGAAGACCCUUGGAGUUUUGAUUAAUCGAGUUACACGUAUUUUUUUGUUGGGGCGACAGGAAGGCAAAAAUUAACCCUUCUAAAUAUAUAUGACUUGACGGACUUUUCAAGAAAGAUUAAACUACCCUAGGGAUAACAGCAUAAUGUUUCAAAAAGCUUGUGACCUCGAUGUUGGACUAGGAACUAAAUGGCUAGCCGUCAAGUUAGUUUGUUCUGUUCGAACUUAUCCUCCU